rnacentral:lncRNA from 1 species
GCACAAAUGAGUCCUCCCAUACUAAUCCUAGAUUUUACAAUCAUCAACUUGUCUUGAAUGAUUUUCUUUUAAAAAAAGAAAAAAAGGCACACACUCUUCUUUGAAGCAGUUUGGUAUAACUGAAAAUAAUGUGAUUAAACAGACUCAGACAUCGAAAUUCGGGAACCAAUAAGUGUGUAAAAGUAGUUUUGGUAAAGAAACCCCCUCUCUCCAAAAUCUCAGUCAGCUGUGAUGAUUUAACCCUUCAUCCUGCUUUGGAAUGAAUCUAAUAAAAAGGAUUGACACAUCUAUCUUUCUCUCUGACACUCUUAGUAAUUCUGUUGUGUGGGACAAAACUCAACCUGGACGUGCAGAAGGGAAACCUGCGGAGACCUGGUAGUCCUCUCACACAGCACGGUGGGAAGUGCCUCUAGCAACAAGUUGUUCUCUCCACAUGCUAGAAAUUAACUUGAAGUUAGGAUUUCUGAAAGGGAAUCUAAUUAGCAUUUCUUCAAACUGCCCCUGAGGGUGAGCUUAGCUAAUGUCCCAGAAGGUGCCAAGAAAGAUCUCAAGUUCCUACAUUCUAGUUUUCUCUUCUCACAUCUCCUGGAUGUGCCUCUAGAUCAGGGGUGAAAUCUCCAUGCAAAACUCAAGUGGAAAGAUUUGGCCAAUGAGAAACUUGACAUCCUCAUAUUAGAACAAUUCUGACGAAUGAGCACUUAUUUGGUGCUAUAACAUAGGUACGGGGGCGGGAACAAGAAAAAGGUACCUACAUGAUAAUAUUGCAAUCACACACAUCUGUGACGGGAGAGUUGUUGAAGGGAUGAGAAUUAGAAUUAGACCAGGUUGGGGACAUACUUCAGGUGCUAAGUGGAAUGAAAGGUUUGGGGCAGGAAGAUGAGCAGCUGCACAACUCUCUCCUGAGCUGACCAUUCUCACAGACUGUGAGACUGUCCAACUUCUCUGAAAACAUGCAAAAGAGUUACACACAGUAACAAACAAAAGGCUUAGCAGUAGUCCC